AUGGAAUCUCUGUCGUGCUUCGAGCCAGUCCUUAGUGUUCUUCAUGAUGCAGGAUUGCUAAAUUUCUACACUGACAUCUGUGAUUGGAAUGAAGAACUCAUUCUUCAAUUCUAUGCAAUGCUGCAUAUCACAGGAAAUUCUGAAGAUGUGAACUCAUGGGUGCUGGACUGGAUGUCAGAAAAUACUCACUACAAGGCACCAGCAACUGAAUUGCUUCGUGCCCUCCCACUCAGUCCUCCCCUUGAUGGUGCUCAUUGCGUCUACAAUGAACCUGAGCUUACAAAUCAUUACAUGCAAGUGCUGAUGAAGCCGUUGAAGCCAGGGCAGGCCCCUCAAACCAAAUUCCUCGUCAAGGAAUUACUGUAUGUGCCACGGACUGUCUAUUGCAUUCUGACGAAGACAAUGAGUCCUAUCAAAGGCCACGACUCAAAUGAUGAAGAAGUCAUUGGCAUCAUGAAGAAUAUGCUUUUCAAUAUCAUUCAUGGCAUUCCCGUCAACUUCCAUGAUUUCUUCAUGAGGACUCUGGCAAAUAUUGCUAUGUCACCAUUUGAGCUGAAGCCUUAUGCACCAUGUAUUAUGAGAUUCAUCAGGACAAGCCAUGACUCAAACGGACAUUUUCCUCAGCUGAUGACAAAGGCAAGGCAACUGCUGUGA
rnacentral:rRNA from 1 species